rnacentral:lncRNA from 1 species
GGAACCUCCUCUGAGACAUUAGAUUUAAACUGGAGAGAAACCAAGGAAGAAAUCAGAGUUUGUCAGGGUAUGAGAAAACGUGUGCCAGAAGGAAACCUGAAGGAACCAUGCUCCUUCUCCCACCACCCAAGGUCCAUCUCCAGAGAUAACCACAUUGCUAUGGUCCACAUUCUAGCUUACAAUUGUCUUUUUUUUUCCUGCUUUUUUCUUCCCCAUCCCCCCAGUACAUAAUUGUAUAUUUUAGUCAUGGGUCCUUCUAGUUCUGGCAUGUGGGAUGCCACCUCAGCAUGGCCUCCGGAGUAGUGCCAUGUCCAUGCCCAGGAUCUCAAUCAGUGUGAACCUAGACACUCGGCCAUGGGGCCGGCCCCUAGCUUAGUAUGUUUUGAGGGCCCAGGAAAUAAUAAAUCCUCCUUAGAGCUCUGUGUUCUCCACCAAUCCCUACAUCUCCUGUUGGAGAGGAGUCUAAUGAAAGAUCCCCCCAUUUUGGCCCAUGAUUGUUUACUGUUUACAAUCUGAAAAAACCAGCGGGCACAGUAAGUAAUGUGGUUAGAGUGUGGUGGUGUAGAUAGAUGAAACAACAGGCAUUGAGUAAGUGUCUUAGUCAAUCUUAGGCGCAAAUCAGAGAAGAUAUGAAAAAUUGUUUCUUAAGAUUUGUCAAGAGAAUUCACAUAAAUGUUAGCACUAAUAUGAGAAUUUCAUUAUGUAUCACAGAAUUAUGUUGACUGCAACAACAAUAAUAGAACAUAACCAUGGUUAUCAUCAGUAUGUUCAGUGUAAUUAAAAUGAUAUCUACAGCUAUGUAACUGCAUGUCUUUCUGUUUAGAUACCACUGCAUAGAUACAACACUGUAAUACAUCUGAGACAAGAAGGAACAACACAGAAAAAGACCCUUCCUGCCUUCAAGACGACUUACUCUCGUUGGGCACAGGGCUGGAUGAGGAGGGAUACUCAAUGACAGUAUUAUGCGAUAACAAAGAAGGUAAAGGAAAAAAUGCAAUUUGUACAAAAUGUGGAGGAUUUCAUUGCACUUGAAAAGCAUCAUGAGUUUAUUUGUUGUUAGAACAAAUUUUAUUCCUAUCCAAGAAACUGAAACUGUCAAUAUGGCUCAGCAAUUAUGUCUAUAUAAUUUUCAGUUCCGGUCUCAUAGAUAUGAGUGAGUCAGAAAGAGUUUACAGGCCAAUAUUAGCUUACUCUUCUGUGGGUUACAAACAAUGCCAAAAUAGCUGUGCUUUAAUAGGAAAAACAUCGACUUCCCAGCACCCUACAUGUCUCACAUCAGUUAACGUGUGAAGAUUGGUGAGCUCUGCUGUCCUAUCUGUCAGGGUCUCAUGUUAUGGAGCUUCCACUGUCUUGUAGCUACAACAUCUGAAACAUGUAGUCAGAACAAGAACACAGUAGAUAAUAGGACACAAAAGUAUGUAUUGGAAAUGUAAAAUGUUUAGGUCUGCUUUUGAUGGAUGGGUGAGAAAGGACCAAAUGUUUCCCAAAGGAAGUGGAGAAAAGUGGACAAAUUUUGGAGGUGUGAGUGUUACUCAGUGGAAGAUUAUUCGGGAGCAGCACCAUCUAUAAACCACUAUGUUCUCACCUGCCUCUUACUUGCUGAGUAACGUGACACUGACACAGUUUUACUAUGAUUAGUCUCUGGAAACCUUCCUCUUCUGGCCUGUCUGAAUGAAGACCAGAAACCUGUAAUUAACUGAUGGACUCGUGGAAGUAUUUUCUCAAUAGGCUCCCACUGAAGAAUCUUUUUUAAUUUUAUUUUUACAAUUCACAAUGACAGCCACUAAUACUCACUGUGCCAGCUUAAUUUUAGAAUGUUUAUAACUGACUAUUUUCCUCAUCACACUCUGUGUUACAAGAGGCAGGUGCCAAACCUUUCUGGAUCAUUAUUUUAUUCCUAGUGACUUGCUUAGGAUCUGAAUAUAGGAUUAGCUUAAAUAAUAACAAUAAGAUUGAACUCUGAGUAUUCAGGCAAACUGUAGAAUGUAUCAUUGUAAUUCACAUUCUUCUUAUUCAAAUAUUCUUGCUAUACUAAACUAGGAGAGGAGUAAGAUAGUGCAGGCCCUAGAGCAUACUGAAGCAUUACUCUCCACUAGUCCUACCUAGUGGUCUCUCAUUGUUAUUGUUUUAACGUUUCUAUUCCGCUUCCUUUGUUUAAUUUCCCCUUCUAAGAAUUUAACCUUCAUUUUUCACCCAGCUCCUGCGGGGGAACUCCUCUUGGUGAGCAGGGCUUUGCCUUGGUGAGUGAAUUUUUACCACACAUGCGCCUGAUCUCUACCAAGUCAGGACUCAUCCACUUUGGCUAAAGGUGUGUAGGGUAGAUUCUGAGGGCAAAGAACAGUAGUCUUUGGGAGAAACAGAUUGAAUGUGUUUGGGUGAGGUUAAUUUUGGUUCUGAAGUUUCUCUGGAUUAAAAAAGGAGCCGUAUUUUAGCUUUUCUGCUAAAGUGGCAGAAGAGGGGACAUUGAUUCUGAGAGAGGAGCAAGCUUUAAGAAAGAGAAGUUUAAAAAAGUAAAGAUCCUUGUUUGUUUCUAGGAGGGACCACUAUUUCUCCAGGCUGUUGCCUUUAUCUUCUUCUUAUUCUGUAGCUUUGAUUUUCUACCCUGUGAAGAUGAACCAGAAUAGUUUAUUUCAGAAGCAGAGAAUUCCUUCCUCCUUCCCUCCAGAGAAGCCUGUGAGAUGGAACCCUGUUUUCCCUCUUCACAAAAGCAUAAGCUCUUGGUGAGAGCCCGCAGAGGGGAGAGCCCUUAUGUGGAUUCAUGAUGGAGAGAAGAGAUCUUAGGGGCUCUGCCAGGAUAAGACCUUCUUGAAGAUAAUCUUUUGUGCUACUAGUCCUGGUCUCUGGAUGCCAAGAACAGGUCCACCUUCCCAUUGACAGUUCCUGAAAGAGUAACAGGAGAAGUUUCAAGGAUAUUGGAUAAACACCUGACAGGACUUUUUAUCUGCAUUGUGGAGACCAUUUCAUUUUUCUUAUCUAAACUGUACAGAUACAGAAAGCCUCUGGGCAGACCAUCUGGAUAGAGUGAGAUAAGGAAACUCAGGAUCUAGUUGUUCCUUACCUUACUGUAGAACUCCUACAUUGCACCGUCUCCAAAGGAGAGCAUACAUUUUGUCUCUGUGUCUGUCUGUUGUCUGUCUGUCUGCAUUAGGUGGGAGGUUUUUUUUUUUAAUGAUGUAAAGCGUCUUCAAUGAUAGAAUGGAGAAUGGAUGAAUAAAGGAAAAAUAAGCACUUGUCUUAUUUUCUAGAGGUUCCAUGAAAAAAUGUACCACAAACACAUGGCUUAAAUAAAAUUUAUUUUCUCACAAUUCUGGAGGCUAAAAAUAUAAGAUGAAAGGUAUUGGCAGGAUCGGUUCUUUCUGAGGGUUUCAUAGGAAGGAUCUGUUCCAUGUCUUUUUGCUAGCUUCUGGAAGUUUGCUGGAAAUAUUUGGUGUUCCUCUAUUUGUAGAUGCAUCACCCUGAUCUCUGCUUUUAUCUUCACAUGGUUUCUCCAUGUGUGCAUGUCUGUCUCUGUCCAAAUAUCAACUUUUUAUAAAGACACAGUCAUGCUAAAUUUAGACCCACCUUAAUGACUUCAUUUUAACGUGAUCAUCUGCAAAGACAAGAUUUCCAAUUAAAGUUUCAUUCACAUAUAUUUGGGAUUAGAACUUCAACAUCUUUUUUGGGGAAGAGAAUUCAACUGUAAUAGCUCUCAAUGUGUUUGUAACAAGAAACUUGUACAGAAGAGAGAUCUCUGUGAGCACCAUGGAGAAAAACUCCAUUUCUUCUGUAAGGAUGACAAGAAGUCCAUUUGUAGGCUUUGUGUAGUUGUCUCUAGAGCACCAGGGUCACCAAAUAUUCUUUAUGGAGGAGGCGGUCAUGGAAAAGCAGAUGGGCUCCAGGGUGGAGAAAGAUAGGGCAGAAUGUUGUCUAAAGUGAAACCGUCACUUUUUUUAUCCGACUGAGCCCUGCAAUCUUUCCAUACCCCUUGCUCGGCUCUGAGGCAUGAAGGACAUUUCUGUGCAUUCAUCCAUUUGCUUCAAAAAUAAGCCUAAACUAGAAACUCAGCACAGAGAAUUUGGAUGAGUGGAGAAUUGCUUCCCAAAGUAAGUUCUGAUUUUCCCCCUGACCAGAAGGUUUUUUUGGGAACAUGGGUGGUUGGAUGUGGGAAAAGCAUCAAUGAGGAGAAAGGACUUUCCUGGCUCCAUGAUCAGUUCUUCUAGGGAAGAGAGACACAGGCUAUUCCUGAUGAAGGUUCAUAACUUGCAUCUCCCUGGGUUAAGGAAUACAUUCACCCCCUCAGAUUUUUGUCUACAUCUUAGAUUCUAAAUGCUGGGCUCAUUUCUGUAAACUUUAGUCUCUUCUGAGCUGGGCUUGAUUCCUUCUCCAUUUGUCCAGGUGCUGAGAAAGCUCAUAACUUGACUCUGAUGAUUCCUUUCUCACAACAGAAGCUCCAGGAAGCUCUGAAGAAGCUGAGGAAGCUGAGGAGUUGGAAGCUGACGUCAGAAAAGAGAGCUACUGGAAGGCAGGAAGAGGUUUUUCCUGAGGGAGUCUGGAGACAGGAAACUGGGCAGCACCUUGGUCCAAUCACACGGAGUCCCAUUUUCUUUGUUACCUCAGAAUUAAUGAGUCAGAAAGACAUUUGAUUAGUCUUCAUUUCAUUCCUUAUUUGUUGAGGGUUCAGGGCUAGAUAGUAGAUAUAUCACAAGUGAAUCCAAAUAUUUGGAAGCAAAGGCAUAGAGGGAAGCAAUAUAAAAAUGACUCGUGAAUCCCAUGUCCCAUUUCCAUCAUCAACUUUGAGGCUCGGAUACUCCCAGAACACACGUUGAGAAAGGCCCAGCUUUCCUUGUUUAGGAAGUGUGGGUGGAGGGGUUUAAUGCACAGUGUAGCAUGAUCAUCCAGGACAGGUCUCUGCCAUCCAAGCCUCCUCCAGGUAUCAGUUUGUGUCUCAGGAUGGGCCUUGAUGAAGUAGACUUGAAUAUAUUGCUUUGGGAGGAGCUCAAGGGGAGACAGGAGGAAAAAUGUCUUUCCUAGGAAACGCUCACCAAUUUCACCUCCUAUCCCUUUGAAAACUCCCUGAGGAAAGUAGUUCUUGUCUUGGCUCCCAGGCGCAUACGAAGUAGGCUGUCAGCCAGAAAGACUGAAGGCCUCUUUCUCUUUUCAUCCCCAAAGCAUCAUAUGCAGACUGAGAGAGGAUUCUGAAAGGGUUUAAUGUAAUGAGAGGCAUCCUGGACAGUCUGAAGCAAAGGAGCUGCAAAACACGGAGGAAGAUGAGGUGACUCUGCUGGAUAAUUUGGUAGCAGCUAAAGACCAGUCGGUCCAGCAGAGUCAGUACAUGAGAGACUUCAUGUCAUAUCUGGAGCCUCAGAUGUAGAGAUCAUCAAUAGACACAACACAGGUAAGACUCAGGAUGGAGGUCCUACCCGUGACAUUCCAGGGAAAACACAGAGACUAGCUUUUUUUCCCUUCUGGGUCCAUGAACUUUCCUCCUCCUAGUGACGUUAAAAAGUUCCUUUGGCCCUCCAUUGCCUCUUCUGUGUCAUUUGUUUCAAGAGUCAUAGGAGUAAUUCAAUGUACAAAUGGUAAGGAAAAAUUCUAUCAUUAACUUAUCAAAGGCUGUGCAAUUAUUUGGAGAAAUGAUUGUUCAUAGGCUCCUAUUAGCAUUUGUGAGGACUCUCCUCACUAAGCUUAGUUAUAAAUAAGCAAACAACAUGAAUUUUUGCUUAUGUUUGAUUUUUGUUGUUGUUGAGGAGGGAAAAUGUAAGCCUAGACUGUGUAAUACCUGAGUGAGGGAUGUACAUGUAUGAAUAAGUGUGAGUGCUUUGUGUGUGUGUGUGUUUGUUGGGGCAAGAAUGUGGGGGCAAACGUAUAGAGACUUUUUGAAGGAAUUGUACCUACAUGAAUGUUAAAAUUUUUUCUGUGGCAUUAUCAUUGUGACUGUGAUCUUAAGCUGUGAAUUACGUUGAGAGAUUCAGGAAAUUUCAAGUUUUCUCUGCUUGACUUUUUGCCAUUCUCCUUUGCCAGCUGAACAAGAAUUUCUUUCUUUAACUUUUGCUGCAAUACUUGGUAAUUAAUUUUCAUCUGCUGAGUCUUUACCUCUGCCUUAAAAAAAAGAAAACUCUUCAUAUUUCUUGAGGAAUAAUUUACAUAUCGUGAAGUUCAGCUAUGUUAAGUGUUCAACAAGGAUCUUUAGUAAAUAUAUUGAGUUGUUAAACCAUGAACAAAUUUAGUUCAACAUUUCUUAAACAGACUCUCCCUUCCUCCACCAAAUUAUUUUGGCACCUCUGUCAAAAAUCAGUUUACUCUAAAUGUAAGUAUUUAUAUCUGGAUUAUCAAUCUGUUACAUGGAUCUAUAUGUCUAUUCUUUCACUAAUAUUUUAAACUUUUGAUUACUGUGGCUCCAUAAAAAAUUUUGAGAUUGGUUAGCAUAAGUCUUACAACUAGGUUCUUAUUUUUCAAAAUUGUUUGAAAAUAAUUUGAAGGAGUUAUAUACAAUUCUAUUUCAAAACAAUUCUAUUCUAAGUCAGUUGUUCUCUGUAGGGACAGUUUUAACCAUGCCUACCCCAGAGAACAUUUGGAGAAUGUUACUGACAUCUAGUGGGUAGAAGCCAGAGAUGCUGCUAAUUCUCCUACAAUGCACUUGGCCAACUCCAUGACAAAAAGUUAUCUGUGCCAGAAUACCAGUAGUGCCAAAGUUGAGAAAUUCUGCCCUGGGUUCUUUGACUUUUCCAUGGACAUUUUGAGAUAUUUUGUUAAUUUUUGUUUAAAAGCCUAUUGGAUUUUGAUAGGCAUUGUGUGGAAUUUAAAGAACAAUUUGAGGAAUAUUGUCAUCUUUACAAUACAAAAUCUCUCCAUUAUUUAGUUUCUCUUUAAACUUUAUCAGCAGUAUUUUGUUUCCAGCACAGAAGUCUUUUAUUUAUUUUCUUCAAUUUUUGAGUUGUUUCUUUUAUAAGUAAACAUCAAUUUCUUGUUGGAUUUUUUCAUUACUACUAAUCAAAAAUACACUAGAUUUUUAUAUUGAUCUUGUAUUUCACCAUAUUCCUAAACACUUUUGUUAGUUUUAGUCAUUUAUGUGUGUGUGUGUGUGUGUGUGUGUGCGUGCAUGUAUUCCUUGAGAUUUUCUACAUACUAGAUCAUGUCGUAUGUAAAUAAAUCCAAUUUUAUUUAUUUUCCAGGCUGGGCAUUUUAAUUUCUUUUACUUCCUCCAUUUUUUUCUUCUGUUUUUCAGCUGUUUCUUAUCUGAUCUAAUAAAUUAUUCUUAUUUUAUUCUCUUCAACAUUCUUUAUUUCAUGUUUAUGAAUGUGGCAUUUUUCCCUUUCAGAACUAGAUAGCCAGAAGUAAUACUCAGUUGUCCAGGGAAAACCAAGUAAUAACUGGGAAUGACACUGACUCAGGAAAACUAUAAGCUCAGAAAUAACAUACCACUGUGAUCAUUCAGUUCACCUGAUCAGUUAUUGCUGGAGCCAGAUAGAUUACUGGGUAUUUCAUUUAUUUGAUUUGCCACAAUCUGCUAUCAUCUUUUUCUAAUCAAGCCUGCUUGAUUUUGUAUUUGGUCAUUUGAAAUAAACACAAUGCUGAGUAAUUUGUGAAUGAUUCCCUGUAUUUGUUGGGCUGCAAAUGGAAGACGGAAGCGAGGCAGCUCUCACACAAUCACUUGUUGCACAGUGGGACUGUUGACUUUGCAUGUGGCUAUUUUGUUUAGCCUUUAGUAAUGACCCAUAGGACUGAGGAGUUUCAGGUAAAGUUGCUAAGAAAGGCUCAUUUGCUUUGUAACAAAGUCCAGCUUCUCUAUUCUCAGCUAAAGUUAGUUCCAGCAAAGUCAGAGUGGAUGAAAGUAAAGCGUGAGUUAUGACUGGGACUAAUGAAGAGCCAGAGACUGAGACAGCAGUCAUACAAAGGUCAAAUGGUAAACUUCCUACCUGAGAUAGGGCACAAGAAUAUCACUAUUAAUGCCUAUUCAUUGGAAUGCAGAUUAGGGAAGGGGCCCAAUAAACUGUGUUGAAUUAACUCUAGGAUAAUGUCCUCAUGCUAACAAAUAAGCUAAACUCUUAGAUACAAAUCUGUAGAACUGGAAGAGAUCUCUAGUUUUGUUAUGAGCUCCUAUAAUUGGCCAUAAAAAAGGCAAAAUCAUACAAAAUUUUAAGGAAGUAGUUGGGAAAAAU